rnacentral:rRNA from 1 species
GUGAGGAAUAUUGCGCAAUGGAGGCAACUCUGACGCAGCCAUGCCGCGUGCAGGAAGAAGGCGCUACGCGUUGUAAACUGCUUUUAACCGGGAAGAAACCCCAGGACGUGUCCUGGGUUGACGGUACCGGAGGAAUAAGCACCGGCUAACUUCGUGCCAGCAGCCGCGGUAAUACGAAGGGUGCAAGCGUUAUCCGGAUUCAUUGGGUUUAAAGGGUGCGUAGGCGGAGCGUUAAGUCAGUGGUGAAAUCCUGCAGCUUAACUGUAGACUUGCCAUUGAUACUGGCGCUCUUGAGUGCGCUUGAAGUGGGCGGAAUGUGCCGUGUAGCGGUGAAAUGCUUAGAUAUGGCACAGAACACCAAUUGCGAAGGCAGCUCACUAAGGCGAUACUGACGCUGAGGCACGAAAGCGUGGGGAUCGAACAUGAUUAGAAACCCUUGUAGUCC